GCCCAGACUCCUACGGGAGGCAGCAGUGGGGAAUCUUCCGCAAUGGGCGAAAGCCUGACGGAGCAACGCCGCGUGAUCGAAUGAAGGCCUUCGGGUUGUAAAGAUCUGUUGACAGGGACGAAUAAGCAAUGCGAAUAGUUUUGUGUAUGACGGUACCUGUUUAGAAAGCUCCGGCUAACUACGUGCCAGCAGCCGCGGUAAUACGUAGGGGGCAAGCGUUAUCCGGAUUUACUGGGUGUAAAGGGAGCGUAGACGGAAUAGCAAGUCUGAUGUGAAAACCCGGGGCUCAACUCCGGGAGUGCAUUGGAAACUGUUGAUCUAGAGUGUCGGAGAGGCAAGCGGAAUUCCUAGUGUAGCGGUGAAAUGCGUAGAUAUUAGGAGGAACACCAGUGGCGAAGGCGGCUUGCUGGACGAUGACUGACGUUGAGGCUCGAAAGCGUGGGGAGCAAACAGGAUUAGAUACCCUGGUA
rnacentral:rRNA from 1 species